AUGUUUUAUGUUCACAACGAUUACACUCGAACAUGUACAAAAUUCAUUUAUGAUUUAUUUCACUCUUUUAUUUAUUGACAUAUUUACUAACAUAUUUACUCACAUAUUUACUAACAUAUUUAUUAUUUUUGUUUAAUUAAGAACUUGCAGAUUUCUCCUUUUUCUUGAUACCGAUAUCGUUGAGCACGACAUAAAAAAACACAAAAUAAAAAAAAAGUAUGGUGAUUCCUGCACGAAUAUUUUCAUUUCACAACAAAAAUGGCUAGUAACAGAGAAUAAAAUGAAGGGAGUGUUAUAUUGCCCUAACGUUAAGUGUAAGAAUAAACUUGGUAAAUGGUCAUGGACUGGUAUAUGUUGUUCAUGUGGUUAUUUACAAAUCCCUGCUUUUAUGAUAAAUAUAUCAAAUAUUGACCGUAUGAGUAUCCAGCCAAACUAAAUUUAAAUAGGUCUACUCAUUUUUUAAAAUAGAUAAAUUAUUUAUAAAAAUAAAUAAUAAUUACCAUAUUUACGUGUAUUCUAU
rnacentral:lncRNA from 1 species